rnacentral:tRNA from 1 species
GACUUUGUUGGGUAGUUGCUUUAGCGCGCCUGUCUGGUAAACGGAAGUCGCAGGUAUAAAUCCUACCAAAAUCA